rnacentral:rRNA from 1 species
AACGAACGCUGGCGGCAUGCCUAAUACAUGCAAGUCGAACGAGAUCUUCGGAUCUAGUGGCGCACGGGUGCGUAACGCGUGGGAAUCUGCCCUUGGGUUCGGAAUAACUUCUGGAAACGGAAGCUAAUACCGGAUGAUGACGUAUGUCCAAAGAUUUAUCGCCCAAGGUGGAGCCCGCGUAGGAUUAGCUUGUUGGUGGGGUAAAGGCCCACCAAGGCGACGAUCCUUAGCUGGUUAGAGAGGAUGGUCAGCCACACUGGGACUCGGACGCGGCCCAGACUCCUACGGGAGGGGGGAGAAGGGGAUAUAGGAACAUGGGCGGAAGGAUGAUCCAGCACGGCCGGGAGAGUGAUGUAGGCCGUAGAGAAGUAAAGCGCUUUUAACCGGGAUGAUAAUGACGGUACCGGGAGAAUAAGCCCCGGCUAACUACGUG